AUAUUUAUGACCAUCAUCAAUAUUGGUAAUGAUGAGAUUUGUGUAACUCAGAAAGAAAACCAAAAGCAAUGCGAAACUGGAAUCCAAACAGCUUACAGAGGCUUGAAUUGAAGCUUUAGCAAGGAGAACUGAUAUAUGGAGUUCUUGAUCCAUAAACGUCAUUAGGUUGAAGAUGCAUUUGAGCCCAUAAGAAAACAACCUGUAGCAUAGUACAGGUAUAUGCUGCCUUAGUGUUGCAUCAUAUCCACAAAUUGAUUUCGAGUCAUAUUCUGAUAAUUUUUUUUGGUUUAUGCAGAGGUUGGUUAUUGGAGAAGUGUAGAAAAACGAGAGGCAGGUCAUGUGGGUACGAUAUGGAAAACAAUGCCUCAAACAUGCAACAGAAUAUUUAGGUUGGACACCA
rnacentral:lncRNA from 1 species